GAGUUUGAUCGUGGCUCAGGACGAACGCUGGCGGCGUGCCUAAUACAUGCAAGUCGAGCGAGCUGAAUUCACGGAUCUCUUCGGAGUGACGUGUUGGACGCUAGCGGCGGAUGGGUGAGUAACACGUGGGCAAUCUGCCCUAAAGACUGGGAUACCACUUGGAAACAGGUGCUAAUACCGGAUAACAAUGACUGCUGCAUGGCAGUUAUUUGAAAGGCGGCGCAAGCUGUCACUUUAGGAUGAGCCCGCGGUGCAUUAGCUAGUUGGUGAGGUAACGGCUCACCAAGGCGAUGAUGCAUAGCCGAGUUGAGAGACUGAUCGGCCACAUUGGGACUGAGACACGGCCCAAACUCCUACGGGAGGCAGCAGUAGGGAAUCUUCCACAAUGGACGCAAGUCUGAUGGAGCAACGCCGCGUGAGUGAAG
rnacentral:rRNA from 1 species